AUCCUUACUCGGCAGGGGAGAGACCAUGAUCACGAAGGUGGUUUUCCCAGGGUGAGGCUUAUCCAUUGCACUCCGGGUGUGCUGACCCCUGGGAUUUCCUGCACGUGGGAACCUAGACAGCGUGAUUUGGGGUAGGGGGACUACCUUAGCCCUCUCCCCU